rnacentral:rRNA from 1 species
UAUUGGUCAAUGGGCGAAAGCCUGACGGAGCAACGCCGCGUGAUCGAAUGAAGGAAUUCGUUCUGUAAACUUCUGUUAUAAAGGAAGAAAGACGGAUGGAGGAAAUGACAUCCGAGUGACGGUACUUUAUGAGAAAGCCACGGCUAACUACGUGCCAGCAGCCGCGGUAAUACGUAGGUGGCAAGCGUUAUCCGGAAUUAUUGGGCGUAAAGAGGGAGCAGGCGGCAGCAAAGGUCUGUGGUGAAAGACUGAAGCUUAACUUCAGUAAGCCAUAGAAACCGGGCAGCUAGAGUGCAGGAGAGGAUCGUGGAAUUCCAUGUGUAGCGGUGAAAUGCGUAGAUAUAUGGAGGAACACCAGUGGCGAAGGCGACGAUCUGGCCUGCAACUGACGCUCAGUCCCGAAAGCGUGGGGAGCAAAU